rnacentral:lncRNA from 1 species
CAUCAAUUCUUAAGAACUGUGUUGCAGUCCCUUAUCUGCAUAACGUUUCGCAUAGGCUGAAAAAAAUUGGGAAACGCGCUGGCAUCACUGUUGUCUUUUCCGCCCCGGAAAAGCUAUCGAAGCUUUG